AGGAGAGAGCUUCUCCUGAAAACAAGACCAAGAUUUUGCUUUAAAGUGUGUGCAUGUCUGUUUGAGAGAGAACGUAGACCAGAAUUAAAGAUCUAUCAAGAGAGCACAAGCUUUCUUCUCUCCUCAGAGACUGUAAAACUGCACCCAGGAAAGCUCCCCUGUCCACUGAUGAUGUCUUGGCUCCCACCACUCGCCUCAUCAGGAAGAGAAGAGAGGAGCUGGACAUACACAAGGCCAUGGAGGCCCUUCAAGAGGACUUUGACAUGACCCUGAUGGCCCAGCGUGUCAGAGAUAAAGAGCUGAAGGAGAGGGAGGUUAAGUUAAAGUAAUACCUCAGGAACUUCGACACAUUUCUCCAGGUAACCUCCUCUAGGUUGAGAGGUCCGGUAGUAGGACCUUAGUAGUAGGACCUCAACCUAUUAAUAUUUUCCAUUGAACUCAGAGACAGGAGUUCCACACCAUACAAACUGUUUCUACUAACCAAUCCCCUCCUGCCUUUCUCAGGAGAAUAAAUUGAAAAAACGUCAGUGCGUUGAAGAAAGCGGUGAAGGAGAGAGAGCUAGCUCGUCAGAAAGCAGCAAACCUACUCAUCCUGAGACAGGAGCUCAAGGCUCUCACUAAAGAGAGAGAAAAGAUUGCUGCUCUCGUAGAGAAACAUGAAAUCUACCCCCGCUUUCUAGAUAAAGUGGUUAUAGCCAGCAAACAGGUAAUGAGAGAUAUGAUAAGAUGGAAGAGACCAUCUCCCCGUAGAGGGGUGUCAGGUUUGUAUAGUUGAGGAGGCAGUGUGAGCUAAUUCUCUGGUCUGGUGUUGGCUUGGUGGUACUGGCACUGAUACUGAGAUUUCUAAGACUCUCCAUGGGUUUGUAACGUAUUUGUAACGUAUUUAAUGGAACCACUACUUUGUAUCCUUUUCUCUCUCCCUCUCCUCCAACACUA